rnacentral:rRNA from 1 species
CUGGCGGGCUGCCUAAUAAUGCAAGUCGUGCGGAGGUCUUCGGACCUUAGCGGCGAACGGGUGAGUAACACGUGGGCAACCUGCCCCUAAGACUGGGAUAACUUCGGGAAACCGGAGCUAAUACCGGAUAAUCUUAUUCUCCUCAUGGAGAAUAAGUAAAAGGCUUCGGCCACUUGGGGAUGGGCCCGCGGCGCAUUAGCUUGUUGGUGGGGUAACGGCCUACCAAGGCGACGAUGCGUAGCCGACCUGAGAGGGUGACCGGCCACACUGGGACUGAGACACGGCCCAGACUCCUACGGGAGGCAGCAGUAGGGAAUUUUCCGCAAUGGGCGAAAGCCUGACGGAGCAAUGCCGCGUGAAUGAUGACGGUCUUCGGAUUGUAAAGUUCUGUUCUCUGGGAAGAAGUUCUGACGGUACCAGAGGAGAAAGCCCCGGCUAACUACGUGCCAGCAGCCGCGGUAAUACGUAGGGGGCAAGCGUUAUCCGGAUUUAUUGGGCGUAAAGCGCGCGCAGGCGGUUCAUUAAGUUAGGUGUUCAAGGCAACGGCUCAACCGUUGUACGCACCUAAAACUGGUGGGCUUGAGUGCAGAAGAGGAGAGCGGAAUUCCUGGUGUAGCGGUGGAAUGCGUAGAUAUCAGGAGGAACACCAGUGGCGAAGGCGACUCUCUGGUCUGUAACUGACGCUGAGGCGCGAAAGCGUGGGGAGCAAACAAGGAUUAGAUACCCUGGUAGUCCACGCCGUAAACGAUGAGUGCUAGUGUCGGAGACUUCCCGUCUUCGGUGCGAAGUACCCAUUAAGCACUCCGCCUGGGGGAGUACGCCGCAGCUGAAACUCAAGAAUUGACGGGGACCGCCACAAGCCGGCUGGAACAAUGUA